CUCCUGAGGGGAAUCAAUCGGCAUCACUUCCUCCCCUCUAGACUAAUCCACGAUAUACAUACAUGAAACUCAUUAUUUAUUUUCAAUAAAAUAAAAAAGAAGCUGACCUGCCUACCCGAUAGAAAAAGGAAGAAACCGGUGAGAGAAAGAGAGAUAUUUAUUAAGGAAGGAAGGAAUUGUGGCGUAAAUGGCAGGCAAUAAACACCUUCCGAAUGGAAUAAGCUCCCCUCACCCCCUCUAUAAAAGCAGCCCUUCGUCCCGCAACCUUCCUUCACCCAUCAACAGCAAGGAAGAGUAAGAAUAGUUUUCUUUUGCAGAUCCCGUUCCCAUGAUUCCUCUCCUGGGUUUUCUAUUGCGCAUAGUUUCUAGUUUUUGCUGUUCUUUUUUAAUCUUCUUGCAUGCGAUUCUUGCGACUUGAUGCUUUUGGUGUUAUUUCGUGGUUCUUGGCCUGUUUGGUUAGCUUGGUUGGAUUUGAAGCGGAGCUCCUGUCAUUCCAAUGAAGGGUCUCUUCGAAGGGUGGUACAGCUGCUCGUUCAUGGUUCCCACUAUCCUAUCCCAUCACCGAGAGGUUGUGAGAUAGGGAGAGAUGGUCUGUUGUAUUGAGAUAGGCUUGUGGUUUGCAUGACCGAGGAGCUGCACCGGCCCCUUGCUGUCCGCUCUUUGGAUUGAAGGGAGCUCUGCAUCCUGAUCUCAGAAAAACUCAAAACAUGUAUGUGCAUGUCCAGAUGCCCAUGCCUUCCCUGAAAUGUUUUCUGUUUAUAUUACUACAUGCUUACCCGUGCUGUGCCUGAUGGAUUAUUUUGGUUCUCAUUCAGUCCAUGUCUAGAUCUGAACCUAAAAUCUUUUUGCCAAGUGCAGAAAAAAGAUUUUUUUUUCAUUUUUUGACCCCUGAGCUUGCUCGUACUUGGGCCAAAUCAUCGUUAUUUGUUUAUAUUUGUUCCGAAUCAGGGAUUCAGCUUGGGCUUCUCCGUGCUGCAGGUUGGCGUACUACUUUUCGUCGCUUUAUUCCUUUGCUGGCAUCGAUAUUUCGACUGCCAAUAAUCUGCUCCCUGUGGAGUGCUCAUGCAGUCAUGUGGGGAACUGAAUCGACGAACGGGAUGCGCACAGCUGGUCCAUGUGGUAUUCAAUCUUAGAUGAGCUGGUUUGUACGUGUUUAAAAGAUCUGUGGUUGAGAGUUUUGAUUCUGUGAUUAAUGCAUUCAAACAGAUUUUGAGAAAAUGUGAUGUGUGUUGGUUACGGUGCUAGGCUAGUGAAUUAUAGAUUCAUAGUCUACUGGUUUGAGCAAAUGAAAUUGUAUAAAAAAAUAGGCUGGAUGAUGGAAACGCACAGUUUGGUUGUGAGCACAUAUGUAACUAUCAUUCCUUGAAUCCAUGAAUGUAGUAUAUUUCGU